rnacentral:rRNA from 1 species
AUUGAACGCUAGCGGGAUGCCUUACACAUGCAAGUCGAACGGAGUGGCGAACGGGUGAGUAAUGUAUCGGACCGUGCCCAGUAGCGGGGGAUAACUACGCGAAAGCGGAGCUAAUACCGCAUACUAUUGGAGCGGCCGAUAGCGGAUUAGCUAGUUGGUGGGGUAACGGCCCACAAAGGCGACGAUACGUAGCUGGGUUGAGAGGACGACCAGCCAAAUUGGGACUGAGACACGGCCCAGCCUCCUACGGGAGGCAGCAGUGGGGAAUUUUGGACAAUGGGGGAAACCCUGACGCAGCCAUCCCGCGUGUGCGAUGAAGGCCUUCGGGUUGUAAAGCACUUUUGGCGGGAAAGCGGUACCUGCAGAAUAAGCACCGGCUAACUACGUGCCAGCAGCCGCGGUAAUUC